rnacentral:rRNA from 1 species
GAUGAACGCUGGCGGCGUGCCUAAUACAUGCAAGUCGAGCGAACGGACGAGAAGCUUGCUUCUCUGAUGUUAGCGGCGGACGGGUGAGUAACACGUGGAUAACCUACCUAUAAGACUGGGAUAACUUCGGGAAACCGGAGCUAAUACCGGAUAAUAUUUUGAACCGCAUGGUUCAAAAGUGAAAGACGGUCUUGCUGUCACUUAUAGAUGGAUCCGCGCUGCAUUAGCUGGUUGGUAAGGUAACGGCUUACCAAGGCAACGAUGCCUAGCCGACCUGAGAGGGUGAUCGGCCACCCGGGAACUGGGACACGGUCCAGACUCCUACGGGAGGCAGCAGUAGGGAAUCUUCCGCAGUGGGCGAAAGCCUGACGGAGCAACGCCGCGUGAGUGAUGAAGGUCUUCGGAUCGUAAAACUCUGUUAUUAGGGAAGAACAUAUGUGUAAUUAACUGUGCACAUCGUGACGGUACCUAAUCAGAAAGCCACGGCUAACUACGUG